rnacentral:misc_RNA from 1 species
AUUAUUUUUAUUUUAAAAAUUACAUGAAAUUUAUAUAAAAAAAUGUGUAUACUUGUACUUUUUGAUAAUUGAUCAAUGGCAUAUGAUUUGCCCAAUUUCCUUUUUCACUUAAAUAUGACAUGGUAUAUUUAGCGGAAAGAUUGAUGAGUGUUUUGAUUGCUACCCACUAUUCAGAUAUUUUUAAAAUAUAAUUAUUACAAUGAGUAAUAUCAUAUGCUAGUUUUCGAAGAUCAUAUUAAAUUUAUCUUGCUGGUAAGAUAAAAAAAAAUUUCUUUGCUUAGGUGAAUUUUGUGUUG